AGCACCAGCCUGCGUCACAGCUGUGCCAAAUCUGGAGUCAGACCAGGCAGGGUAGCUCACCUGUUGCUGAUAACACCUAACGGCAGAUUUCUAGGAGGGUGCAUGGUACAUGUCCUGUUUCUGAAGAGGCCUCUGGUGUUACCUCCCAACGACUGACAGAUGGGUGCACUAAGACUGCUAAUACAAUGGAAGAAGCAAAAAUGGGAAGAGAGGUUGAGGGGACUGCACAAAAUGGAAAAAUCUCGUUCUGCAGACCAGGCCUACCCAGUGACAUUAAUUUCUACCUUCAGUCU